rnacentral:lncRNA from 1 species
UGGGCAAAUAAUAAUUGUUUAAGGAUAGAAAAGCAGAAAAUGUUGUAGGAACAGAGUGCUCUCUCUGUGGGGCUGAACUUCAGAUUUCGGGGAGAGAAAUGACCUAGAAUCCCAAAAAGUUGAAACGUUCCCAGGAGGAACCAACCACUUAGGGAUUUCUUUUCCUGAUGUGCACGGCUUCUCAUCCCUGAGACAUGCUCGGCCUAUGUGGAAAUAUGUAAGUCAUGUGGAGAAGCAUGAAAGAAAUGGGAUCUGUCCUUCAAUCAUGUCACUCGGUGCUUUAUUUCACUUCCAGAAAUGGAGGGGAAACAAGACCUUAUAAAAGACCAAAAGCUUUAAGUAGGUUUUGAUUCUUGUCAGGUGCUCUGCCUCAUAUUCACACCUAGUGGUGUGGAUGGAGGCUGGAGCCAUGGAAAAAGAAGUCAAAAGGCACCCAUCAUUCUCUACUUUGUUUAUAAUCGACCUGUGCUUUACAUGUGAGUUCUCAUCACACAACAUGUGUGGGUAAAUGCUGCAUGCAAUAACAUAAAGCUUGUGUUUCAGGCAAUGCUUCACACAAACUCAUAAGAAGGAAAGGGGAAGGAGAAGCAGAAAUGGACACACUUCUAGAAAGAGGUGAAUUACAGUUAUGAACUUAGCUGUGACUUCAGGGCAUAUGUAGAAUAUAUUAUUUAAUUCUCACAAAAAUCUAAUGUGAUAAUUAUGUCUGCUUCCAUUUUGGUAGAUGAAGUUUCACUUAAGUAAGCAUAUAGUUUUUAUUCUUAGUCUCCUUAAAUAUCAAUGUGAUUUGUUCAUACCUGAGAAAAAAAUCUUUUUAGAUACAUUUUUGUAUCCUUCCCUGAUAAUGAGUGUCGGUGGUCUCCACUCCUAAUAAUAGCUUAGUAUUUUAAAAAUCUAUGAUGAAUUUGACAUCUGAAGCCAGAGUUCCUCUCGCUUAACCCUCUCAAUGUUUAAACCUUUCAUUACCAUGUAUAACUGUUCAGUUUCCCUAUCAUAAUGAGGAAAAGAUAGCCAUCCUGGCUUGGUUCCUUCCAUAGCAACUGGCCCAUACCUUCUCCUCUGGUAACCACAUACACAUCAAUUGUCUUAUAGCUACUACAUUUAGUGUUCUUUGCAAGUGGGCAUCCCAUAAUAGUGUCUUGGGCUUGCUAUUUUAAAUAUCAUCACAUAUGGUUUUAAGCAAAAGAAACGUGCUACCACACAGCUCUGCAGUUGGAUGUCUGAUAUUAAGAUUUUGACAGGAUUGAUACCUCAGGAAGAUGUGAGGAAAGGAUAUGUCAGGCCUUGACUCUAGCUCUGAUGAAUGCUGACAAUCUGGCAUUCAUUGACUUGAAGAGUCACGUUGAUUACCUUCUUCAUCUUGACAUGGAGAUAACCUGUUACACCCCUUUCAUUCCAAUGAGGACAUUCAUCUAAUCCUUACAACCUCAC